UUGACUUCUAUCGCAAAGGGCUUCCUUGCUGCUUCUUUCUUCUGUCCCUUUCUUCUCCCCCUCACCUCCUCCUUCCUUCCUUCCUUCUUCCCCCCCACCUUUCUUUCUCCUUUUCUCUCUUUCUCCCUUCCUCCCUUUCUUCCUCCCUCCUUCCCUCCUCCUCCUCUCUCUCCUCUCUUUCCUCCAUCAGAGUGGCCCCAUGGCUCUUUGGGAACUGGACCCAGCGGGGGUUGGGGGGGUUGGAUAGCAGCAGACUUGGUUGCUGGCAGCUACAGAGGGAACACGGCUUUCCUGCCCCAGCGCUCCUAACAAAGUGCUGGCGAGGACCAGAGCGUGUUAAGACCCCUGGCUGACCAGGUUAGGUAUCCCAUCUCCCGCCCUGCCCCACACAGGCUGCCCUUCUAAACACAUCUUCUUCUCUUUUAAGAGGGUGGGUGGAGGACAUGAAAGGUGGUAAAGCAGCCAUAACCGAGGGAUCUUUGGCAGGAUUUCUCAUCAAUUCCGUGGGAAUGGAAGCUCCCUGCCAGCCACUUUCCCAGGGCUGCUGUGGAGACUUCGUAUUUGAUAAAUGAACAAAUGAUCGAGCCCUCUUCUAUCCCGUGGAAGACUACCAAGAAUUCUAGAACUCUGCUAGAAGCUCGGCCGGGCCCAAACUCGAUGAUCCAGUCCUCCAUUCCGUGUAGCAGAAGGAACACAGGGUUUGGCCACAGCUCAAGUCCUACGUAUGUAAUUUACCCAGAGGGACUUCGGCAGGUUGCUAGAGCCCCUGAGCCUCUGUUUGCUCAUCUCUCAAACGGGCAUUAUAAUCACCGUGACCUCGCAUGAUGUAGCGAUAGGAGCCAAUUCGACAUUUCCUGGAAAAGACUCUGUACCCUUGGAAGCCUCCGGCAGAUGCUGGCUAUCGUUACUAAGGACUUUGGGUCUGAAACCGGAGAAACCACAUUCAGAUCCCAGAUCUGCUACUCUGUGGCGGGGAGAUCAGAGGCAAUGUAGAACCCUCUUUGGAGCCUCAGUUUCUCUCAUCUGGUAAGUAGAAAUAAUGCCACCUACCCUAGAGAGUUUAUGAAAAGUCAAUAGAGGUUAAAAAGCAGACCCUGGUCUCAGGGACGAGGGUUGCACUGAAUGGUAGUUACAAUUUUCCAUAGGAGUAGAAGUGAUGACACGGACAAGGAACUUGCCACGGAAAGUAACCCAGGCUCGCAGGCGUCUUCUGUUCCACUCAGCUGCAGCUCCCCAUGCUGUAAUCACUCAAUAAAUAUUUGCUGAUUGAUUGAGGGUGACUGAUC
rnacentral:lncRNA from 1 species